rfam:Otolemur garnettii contig120850, whole genome shotgun sequence.
GCCAGGCGUUGUGGCAGGCGCCUGUAGUCCCAGCUACCUGGGAAGCUGAGGCAGGAGACUCACUUGAGCCCAGGAGUUGGAGGUUGCUGUGAGCGUGAUGCCAUGGCACUCUACCCAGGGGGAUAGCUUGAGGCUCCAUCUCAAAAAAAAAAAAAAAAGAUCUGGCUUAAAAUAUCCUUUUAUAGUUACUAUCUUUUUUUUUGAAACAGAGCCUCCAGCUGUUCCCCUAGGUAGAGUGCUGUGGCAUCACAGCUCACAGCAACCUCCAUCUCCUGGGCUCAAGCGAGUCUCCUGCCUCAG